UACGUAGGGUGCAAGCGUUGUCCGGAAUUAUUGGGCGUAAAGAGCUCGUAGGCGGUCUGUCGCGUCUGCUGUGAAAACUCGGGGCUUAACCCCGGGCCUGCAGUGGGUACGGGCAGACUAGAGUGCGGUAGGGGAGACUGGAAUUCCUGGUGUAGCGGUGAAAUGCGCAGAUAUCAGGAGGAACACCGGUGGCGAAGGCGGGUCUCUGGGCCGAUACUGACGCUGAGGAGCGAAAGCGUGGGGAGCAAACAGG
rnacentral:rRNA from 1 species